rnacentral:lncRNA from 1 species
CUUACUUCAAACCCCCCCUCUGAAAAAUCAUCAUGUCUGGAUACCCCCAUAACACACCGGGAUACGGUGCUCCACCGUCAUCACAGCCAUACUCCUCCGCCCCUUACGGCGCCCCAGCUCAACCCUACGGUGCCCCAGCACAACCUUACGGCGCUCCGGCCCCAGCACAACCCUACGGCGCCCCUGCACAGCCCUACGGCGCAUCACAGCCUCCACAUGGUCACCCUCAACAAUCCCCUUACGCACCGGUAGCCAGUCCAUACGGCGCACCACCGCCUUCAGCCCCUUACGGCGCACAUCCAGAAACUAAACCGCCAAAAGAGAUGAAACCCUCAUCCUCCCCCUACGGUGCUCCUCAACCCGGCGGUGGAUACCCACAGGCACAGGGUGGAUACGGCAGCCCGUUUUCGGCUCUUUUGCCGUCGACGUUUCCUCCAGGAACAGAUCCGAACGUGGUGGCGUGCUUCCAGGUCGCCGAUCAGG